UACGUAGGGGGCUAGCGUUGUCCGGAUUUAUUGGGCGUAAAGAGCGUGUAGGCGACCAGGUAGGUCUGGUGUGAAAACUCGAGGCUUAACCUCGAGAUGUCAUCGGAAACCAUUUGGCUAGAGUCCGGAAGAGGAGAGUGGAAUUCCUGGUGUAGCGGUGGAAUGCGCAGAUAUCAGGAGGAACACCUAUGGCGAAGGCAGCUCGCUGGGACGGUACUGACGCUGAGGCACGAAAGCGUGGGGAGCAAACGG
rnacentral:rRNA from 1 species